CCUACGGGAGGCAGCAGUGGGGAAUAUUGCACAAUGGGGGAAACCCUGAUGCAGCGACGCAGCGUGAGUGAAGAAGUAUUUAGGUAUGUAAAGCUCUAUCAGCAGGGAAGAAGAAAGACGGUACCUGACUUAUAAGCCCCGGCUAACUACGUGACAGCAGCCGCGGUAAUACGUAGGGGGCAAGCGUUAACCGGAUUUACUGGGUUUAAAGGGAGCGUAGAGGGGUGGGCAAGUCUGAAGUGAAAGCUCAGGGCUCAACCCUGGGAUUGCGUUGGAAACUGUGGGGCUAGAGUGCUGGAGAGGUAAGUGGAAUUCGUAGUGUAGCGGUGAAAUGCGUAGAUAUUAGGAGGAACACCAGUGGCGAAGGCGGCUUACUGGACAGUAACUGACGUUGAGGCUCGAAAGUGUGGGGAGCAAACAGGAUUAGAUACCCUGGUAGUC
rnacentral:rRNA from 1 species